rnacentral:rRNA from 1 species
CCAAUAGCGUAUAUUAAAGUUGUUGCAGUUAAAAAGCUCGUAGUUGAAUUUCGGGGUCAGUAGGUUGGUCGUGCCACCGGUACGUACUGGUCUCACUGAUUCCUCCUUCCUGAUGAGCUGUAAUGCCAUUAAUUUGGUGUUGCAGGGAAUCUGGACUGUUACUUUGAAAAAAUUAGAGUGUUUAAAGCAGGCUAACGCUUGAAUACAUUA